rnacentral:miRNA from 1 species
CAGACUGGCCAGUUAAAAAUGAAUUUCAGAUAAAAAACAAAUACUUUUAGUGUAAAUAUAUCCCAUGCAAUCUUUGGGACACACUUAUGCUAAAGUACUUUUCAUUGUUGAUAUGGAAUUCAAAUUUAACUGAGUAUUCUGU